AUUAUCAGGAAACCCUCAGUAAAUGCCAUUUCUCUGCAAUGCCCAUUGCCAAUUUGGAAGGAUCCCUAAACCACUGAAUUUUUGUCAAAACCCAAAUUGCCUGGAGAGUUUAUGGAACUGUUAUCAGGGAUUAGAUUUCCUUGAGAAGUUAAUAUAGUAGAUCUUGCCUCUAUAGUAGAACUUGCCUCUCUUCUUCUGUUUAAUUUGAAUUAUGAUUCCCCUUCUUGGAAAGGAAGUUAAGGAUUAUUCCAUAAUCCUAGCUACCAAAUUCCAUCCAAAAAAGGCAUUUCAAUGACAUCUUAAAAUAAAUGGAUUUUCUGUUUCAAUUAGAUGUGAUUAUGGGACUUUGGUUUUGUGAAGGAAACAUCCACAGAUUAUUGAAAUUGGAUGCUUAUUUACUUUCUCAGAAACCAUCACUGAAUCUAUUAAAGUAUUUUCACAGUCAACUUUGCCUUCCUGGUCACGGAUACCUGGAGGGUGAUGAAGGGGAAAAGAUGAUGCACAGUUGAAAACCUUCCAGAUUAAAGGUGUGAUGACCAUUUUAACUCUACAGCAAUCCUGAAGACCAGGAAAGUUCACGGCAAGCAUGCUCUGUUGGAUGUGGAGGUCUCCGCUGAAUUUCCUUACAGUGUUUGCGUCCCAAAGCUCCCUCCCUCUCACCCCCAUACCUGAUAAAGUACAGCUGAUUGACUGAUGAGGUCAUCUUUUUAGGCCUGCCAUCCGGGAGCCAGGGCCCAAACCCAUCCCCGAAGACUUGCAGACACAGAAGAAAUCACUUCCCUGUGGGCAGGUGGACUUAGGAGUGUGGAGUCCACGGUAGCCCCAAGGGAAGGGACCAUUACAACAGUCAGCGCCUCUCAGAAACUCAUUUCCAAAGCCGGGGCCAAUGAAUCAUGCCACAUCUGGACACAAAUGUGCAGGUGUACACUGUCUCAGUUUGCCCUCUUAUUAAUGGGAUGAACUCUGCAACUUUGGAAAAAUUAGGAAACCUCACUUACUGUAAUUUCCUCCACUGUCCUCUGAGGGAUGAAGACUAAUUACAGGAACUCACAGAUUCCAGCUGUAUUGCUCCUGGCCCCCCAGCUCCACAUGUGUGAACCGUCCGUGUUGACAAGGCUGAGGUCCUGAAGCAAAGCAAAUAGUGCUGAUUCUGUCUUAGGUAAGUGAUGUGGGCCUGUUUCU